ACGAAUAAUAACCGCGAGAACAAACAAGGCCUUGAGAACCGGUUGACGAAAAACAUCGCGGGAUAAGCGCAUCGGUGUAUAAUAAUAUUACGUUACACGGACAGGACAUUCUUAACAUACUCAAUGUACCCGGCGGUACACACCGUCCCGGAUGGCUACAGUCGUUACCGUAAUGGCAACGCGCUGCGGUUUACGAUAAACGAACGCGUUUAGUCGAUCUGCCAGUGACGUUAAACCGUGGAAAAUAUUGAUCACACUGUGAAUAUGCUAAUGCGACGAAAAAACAAAAAAACAAAAAUAAAUCGCAGUGAAAAUAACAGCGAUUGCCAUACUAUAACUGCUGCGUUUCAUUUUUCACGUAGGUACCCGUCCCGCGUUCACACUAUCCGAAUAUCACAAUAACCCGUACAGUAUAAAUUACCACAGAACACUGUAUAGUUGCACCGAUCUCUAGUAGUCUACACUAUUCUAAUCAGUCGCGAUUUCAGAUGUUAUCGACCCGGUGUAUAUGUGAAAUGAUCACUGCCGACGAAUAAUUGUUACCAUAAUAAAUAUUGAUAAAUAUUAGAAUAUUAAUAAAUUCCUGUCU